rnacentral:lncRNA from 1 species
GUCCUACUCAGUGUCCUUUGUGAAUGGACACUAUUUACAAAGACUUAAUUUCUGGACAAUAUGUAUACAGGCAUAUCAAAACUUUAUUUUUUAAAAAAUGGGAAAAUAAUUGAUGUUAUUUUAGAAAUUUAAUACUGAACUAUAUAUGUAACACUCAAGAUAUAUAGUACCAUCUUUUAGUAUAGUAGUGCAAGUUACCUCUUUCUGUAAGAGUACAAUAUAGAGUAUGUAAUGGGAUUUAUUUAUCUAUCCAUCCAUCUAUCCUUUCUUUUUUUGAGACAGGUUUUGCUAUGUUGCCUAGUGUGGCCUCAAACCCCUGGGCUCAAGUGACCUUCAUGCCUCAGCCUAUGAGUAGAUGGAACCACCACACCUAGCUUAUAUUAUGGAAUUUAAUUCACACUGGCAGGCUAAGUGAUCACCAAAGUAUAAGUGGGUUGAAAUUGACAUUCUACACUACGGUCUGGCUUGUGAAGAAAUAGAAUAAAAAAGGAAUAUAACAAUGUUUUGAAAUUGUCUUCCUUUGACUGCUAUCUUGAUGGCAUAUUAAGAUUUUUUUCUUUUCCUGAGGAACUUAUUUUUAAACUAGAUUCAAUUUCAGCAUUCCUUUAGUAAUUUUAAAUAGAGACCGAUCAUGAAUAUACUCACAUAUUUGUUCUUUUAAUUAAAAAAUAAUCUGC